rnacentral:rRNA from 1 species
GAUGAACGCUGGCGGCGUGCUUAAUACAUGUAAGUCGAACGAAGGAGUUAGCAAUAGCUCUUGAGUGGCGAACGGGUGCGUAACGCGUGGGUGACCUGCCCCGAAGAGUGGGAUACCAGUUCGAAAGGACUGCUAAUACCGCAUGAGCUCGUGCAGUUUAGAAGUGCACGAAGAAAGCCGAGAGGCGCUUUGGGAGGGACCUGCGUCCCAUCAGCUAGUUGGUAGGGUAACGGCCUACCAAGGCGGCGACGGGUAGGGGGCCUGAGAGGGUGGCCCCCCACACUGGCACUGAAACACGGGCCAGACACCUACGGGUGGCAGCAGUAGGGAAUAUUGCACAAUGGGCGCAAGCCUGAUGCAGCAACGCCGCGUGCGCGAUGAAGGCCUUCGGGUCGUAAAGCGCUUUUCGGGGAGAUGAGGAAGGACAGUAUCCCCGGAAUAAGUCUCGGCUAACUACGUGCCAGCAGCCGCGGUAAAACGUAGGAGGCAAGCGUUAUCCGAAUUUACUGGGCGUAAAGCGUGUGCAGGCGGUUCGGUAAGUUGGGUGUGAAAUCUCCCGGCUCAACUGGGAGAGGUCGCUCAAGACUGCCGGACUGGAGGGCGGUAGAGGGAGGUGGAAUUCCGGGUGUAGUGGUGAAAUGCGUAGAUAUCCGGAGGAACACCUGUGGCGAAAGCGGCCUCCUGGACCGUACCUGACGCUGAGACACGAAAGCUAGGGGAGCGAACGGGAUUAGAAACCCCGGUAGUCCUAGCCGUAAACGAUGUGGACUGGGUGUCGAUGGGGUAAAAGCCAGCGGUGCCGAAGCCAACGCGAUAAGUCCACCGCCUGGGGACUACGGCCGCAAGGUUAA